rnacentral:rRNA from 1 species
UACGUAGGGCGCAAGCGUUUGUCCGGAAUUAUUGGGCGUAAAGAGCUCGUAGGCGGCUUGUCACGUCGGUUGUGAAAGCCCGGGGCUUAACCCCGGGUCUGCAGUCGAUACGGGCAGGCUAGAGUGUGGUAGGGGAGAUCGGAAUUCCUGGUGUAGCGGUGAAAUGCGCAGAUAUCAGGAGGAACACCGGUGGCGAAGGCGGGUCUCUGGGCCGAUACUGACGCUGAGGAGCGAAAGCGUGGGGAGCGAACAGG